UGCCCUUGGACACAAAUCUAUCAUGAGUGAACAGGGAGACCGGAAGGAAAAAAGUUGUGCCAGUGUGGGGUACUACAAAGCAUUGUAUUUUUCAAUUUUUAAACUAUGAAGUUGCCUUUUCUGGGUCUUUGUAGUCAGAAAAAAAUCAUAUGGUGAAUUUUGAUGCAGGAGCUGAUAGACUACCUGCGAACACAUUCUCAUAGUGCAGUGUAUGCCACGUCAUUGUCACCUCCUGUAGUGGAGCAGAUCAUCACCUCCAUGA
rnacentral:sRNA from 1 species